rnacentral:rRNA from 1 species
UUAAGCGACUAAGCGUACACGGUGGAUGCCCUGGCAGUCAGAGGCGAUGAAGGACGUGCUAAUCUGCGAUAAGCGUCGGUAAGGUGAUAUGAACCGUUAUAACCGGCGAUUUCCGAAUGGGGAAACCCAGUGUGAUUCGUCACACUAUCAUUAACUGAAUCCAUAGGUUAAUGAGGCGAACCGGGGGAACUGAAACAUCUAAGUACCCCGAGGAAAAGAAAUCAACCGAGAUUCCCCCAGUAGCGGCGAGCGAACGGGAAGGCAGCCACGAGCCUCGAAUACAGUGUGUGUGUUAGUGGAAGCGUCUGGAAAGGCGCGCGAUACAGGGUGACAGCCCGUACACAAAAAUAGCACAUGCUGUGAGCUCGAUGAGUAGGGCGGGACACGUGGUAUCCUGUCUGAAUAUGGGGGGACCAUCCUCCAAGGCUAAAUACUCCUGACUGACCGAUAGUGAACCAGUACCGUGAGGGAAAGGCGAAAAGAACCCCGGCGAGGGGAGUGAAAAAGAACCUGAAACCGUGUACGUACAAGCAGUGGGAGCACAGAGCAAUCUGUGUGACUGCGUACCUUUUGUAUAAUGGGUCAGCGACUUAUAUUCUGUAGCAAGGUUAACCGAAUAGGGGAGCCGAAGGGAAACCGAGUCUUAACUGGGCGUUAAGUUGCAGGGUAUAGACCCGAAACCCGGUGAUCUAGCCAUGGGCAGGUUGAAGGUUGGGUAACACUAACUGGAGGACCGAACCGACUAAUGUUGAAAAAUUAGCGGAUGACUUGUGGCUGGGGGUGAAAGGCCAAUCAAACCGGGAGAUAGCUGGUUCUCCCCGAAAGCUAUUUAGGUAGCGCCUCGUGAAUUCAUCUCCGGGGGUAGAGCACUGUUUCGGCAAGGGGGUCAUCCCGACUUACCAACCCGAUGCAAACUGCGAAUACCGGAGAAUGUUAUCACGGGAGACACACGGCGGGUGCUAACGUCCGUCGUGAAGAGGGAAACAACCCAGACCGCCAGCUAAGGUCCCAAAGUCAUGGUUAAGUGGGAAACGAUGUGGGAAGGCCCAGACAGCCAGGAUGUUGGCUUAGAAGCAGCCAUCAUUUAAAGAAAGCGUAAUAGCUCACUGGUCGAGUCGGCCUGCGCGGAAGAUGUAACGGGGCUAAACCAUGCACCGAAGCUGCGGCAGCGACGCUGAUGCGUUGUUGGGUAGGGGAGCGUUCUGUAAGCCUGCGAAGGUGUGCUGUGAGGCAUGCUGGAGGUAUCAGAAGUGCGAAUGCUGACAUAAGUAACGAUAAAGCGGGUGAAAAGCCCGCUCGCCGGAAGACCAAGGGUUCCUGUCCAACGUUAAUCGGGGCAGGGUGAGUCGACCCCUAAGGCGAGGCCGAAAGGCGUAGUCGAUGGGAAACAGGUUAAUAUUCCUGUACUUGGUGUUACUGCGAAGGGGGGACGGAGAAGGCUAUGUUGGCCGGGCGACGGUUGUCCCGGUUUAAGCGUGUAGGCUGGUUUUCCAGGCAAAUCCGGAAAAUCAAGGCUGAGGCGUGAUGACGAGGCACUACGGUGCUGAAGCAACAAAUGCCCUGCUUCCAGGAAAAGCCUCUAAGCAUCAGGUAACAUCAAAUCGUACCCCAAACCGACACAGGUGGUCAGGUAGAGAAUACCAAGGCGCUUGAGAGAACUCGGGUGAAGGAACUAGGCAAAAUGGUGCCGUAACUUCGGGAGAAGGCACGCUGAUAUGUAGGUGAAGUCCCUCGCGGAUGGAGCUGAAAUCAGUCGAAGAUACCAGCUGGCUGCAACUGUUUAUUAAAAACACAGCACUGUGCAAACACGAAAGUGGACGUAUACGGUGUGACGCCUGCCCGGUGCCGGAAGGUUAAUUGAUGGGGUCAGCGCAAGCGAAGCUCUUGAUCGAAGCCCCGGUAAACGGCGGCCGUAACUAUAACGGUCCUAAGGUAGCGAAAUUCCUUGUCGGGUAAGUUCCGACCUGCACGAAUGGCGUAAUGAUGGCCAGGCUGUCUCCACCCGAGACUCAGUGAAAUUGAACUCGCUGUGAAGAUGCAGUGUACCCGCGGCAAGACGGAAAGACCCCGUGAACCUUUACUAUAGCUUGACACUGAACAUUGAGCCUUGAUGUGUAGGAUAGGUGGGAGGCUUUGAAGUGUGGACGCCAGUCUGCAUGGAGCCGGCCUUGAAAUACCACCCUUUAAUGUUUGAUGUUCUAACGUUGACCCGUAAUCCGGGUUGCGGACAGUGUCUGGUGGGUAGUUUGACUGGGGCGGUCUCCUCCUAAAGAGUAACGGAGGAGCACGAAGGUUGGCUAAUCCUGGUCGGACAUCAGGAGGUUAGUGCAAUGGCAUAAGCCAGCUUGACUGCGAGCGUGACGGCGCGAGCAGGUGCGAAAGCAGGUCAUAGUGAUCCGGUGGUUCUGAAUGGAAGGGCCAUCGCUCAACGGAUAAAAGGUACUCCGGGGAUAACAGGCUGAUACCGCCCAAGAGUUCAUAUCGACGGCGGUGUUUGGCACCUCGAUGUCGGCUCAUCACAUCCUGGGGCUGAAGUAGGUCCCAAGGGUAUGGCUGUUCGCCAUUUAAAGUGGUACGCGAGCUGGGUUUAGAACGUCGUGAGACAGUUCGGUCCCUAUCUGCCGUGGGCGCUGGAGAACUGAGGGGGGCUGCUCCUAGUACGAGAGGACCGGAGUGGACGCAUCACUGGUGUUCGGGUUGUCAUGCCAAUGGCACUGCCCGGUAGCUAAAUGCGGAAGAGAUAAGUGCUGAAAGCAUCUAAGCACGAAACUUGCCCCGAGAUGAGUUCUCCCUGACUCCUUGAGAGUCCUGAAGGAACGUUGAAGACGACGACGUUGAUAGGCCGGGUGUGUAAGCGCAGCGAUGCGUUGAGCUAACCGGUACUAAUGAACCGUGAGGCUUAACCUU